rnacentral:rRNA from 1 species
AACGAACGCUGGCGGCAGGCUUAACACAUGCAAGUCGAGCGCCCCGCAAGGGGAGCGGCCGACGGGUGCGUAACGCGUGGGAACGUACCUUUUGGUUCGGAACAACUCCGGGAAACUGGAGCUAAUACCGGAUAAGCCCUAACGGGGAAAGAUUUAUCGCCGAAAGAUCGGCCCGCGUCUGAUUAGCUAGUUGGUGAGGUAACGGCUCACCAAGGCGACGAUCAGUAGCUGGUCUGAGAGGAUGAUCAGCCACACUGGGACUGAGACACGGCCCAGACUCCUACGGGAGGCAGCAGUGGGGAAUAUUGGACAAUGGGCGCAAGCCUGAUCCAGCCAUGCCGCGUGAGUGAUGAAGGCCUUAGGGUUGUAAAGCUCUUUUGUCCGGGAAGAUAAUGACUGUACCGGAAGAAUAAGCCCCGGCUAACUUCGUG